rfam:Stegodyphus mimosarum contig86195, whole genome shotgun sequence.
GCCUUCGUAGUGUAGUGGUCAGCACGCUGGGCGCGUAUUCCAGAGGUCCGUGGUUCGAGUCCCAGUGAAAGCA